CUCCUGCCACCAGUCUUGGAUCCUUAGUUUGUUCCCUGCAUGCUUGGCACUGGCCUUGCACAGUCCACAUGCUCAGUCAGGGGGGUGCCCCCACUCCUGACCUCGGAGGAGGAGUGGAGGAAGGAUGAGGGGAAGAGACCCUGGACAAUGAGUCCCAUCAUUUUAGAGCAUCCUUCUUCUGGACAACAAUGGCCCCUUGGCACUUCAGGGGAGGCACUCUGGAAGGCUCCUGGCAUGUACAAGCUCUCUGCUGUCAGCAGGCGAAGCAGGCACCAUCCCAUCUGUCUCAGAGGAAACCAAACCUGAGAUGACAGAUAGGUAUGAGGCUGAACCCCAAGUUUGCUCCUUCUCCUCCAGCUCCCCUUCCUUCAUACUGCAAAUCUGCCUUCAGGAAAUAUUUCUAUCUCUCCAUAGAAUACCCAGCUAUGUCUUUUGCCAGAAACAAAAAAGUGCAUGCGCUGACACUGCCCACAGGAAUUGGUCGGUUUUCUCUCAGCUAAAAUGCUGCCCACAGAGAGCAAAUAUUAGGAUUCCUAAAACUCAGAGCUCUCAGGAAGAUGGGGAAGCAGCCCAAAAUG
rnacentral:lncRNA from 10 species